rnacentral:lncRNA from 1 species
GUUAAGGGGUGGAAUAACCCCUUAACCCCCAUUUUAUCCCCAAACAUCCCAAAAAAUAGGUGGAGUUAGCUAAUCCCACCUCAAAUAAAUUAUUCCGGGUUAGCUAACCCCACCUAACUCCACCAAACUCCAACCAAACACUAUUUUUUAUUCAUAAUAACCCACUAUCUUUCUUAUCACACCUAUUCCAAUCAAUCAUUAUCCUUCUUUAUCAAUCAUUAUCUUCUUAUCCCACCUACCCAACCAAACACUAUUUUUCAUUAUUCUAGACUAACUCCAAUCCCCAACCAAACACAAAAAAACUUUAACCCCAAUUUAACCCUGAACUUAACUCUAUCCCUAGAAUAACUAUUUUUUCCUUAAUCCCGAACCAAACGGAGGCUUAAGUGCUUCUAACUUUGCAUGAAAAAGAUAUAU